rnacentral:rRNA from 1 species
AUUGAACGCUGGCGGCAGGCCUAACACAUGCAAGUCGAACGAGUGGCGGACGGGUGAGUAAUGUCUGGGAAACUGCCUGAUGGAGGGGGAUAACUACUGGAAACGGUAGCUAAUACCGCAUACCAUCGGAUGUGCCCAGAUGGGAUUAGCUAGUUGGUGGGGUAACGGCUCACCUAGGCGACGAUCCCUAGCUGGUCUGAGAGGAUGACCAGCCACCCCGGAACUGAGCUAAGGUCCAGACCAUGACGGGAGGCAGGAGAGGGGAAUAUGGGACAAUGGGAGCAAGCCUGAUGCAGCCAUGCCGCGUGUAUGAAGAGGGCCUUCGGGUUGUAAAGUACUUUUAGCGGGGAAGCGUUACCCGCAGAAGAAGCACCGGCUAACUCCGUGCCAGCAGCCGCGGUAAUAC